rnacentral:ncRNA from 1 species
GAUAGCCGUAUGCGGGAGAUCCGCACGUACGGUUUGGAGGUAGGGGGAGUCUCACGACUCUCCCUACCCCUAU